UACGUAGGGGGCAAGCGUUGUCCGGAUUUAUUGGGCGUAAAGAGCGUGUAGGCGGCCAGACAGGUCAGCUGUGAAAACUCGAGGCUCAACCUCGAGACGUCGGUUGAAACCGUCUGGCUAGAGUCCGGAAGAGGAGAGUGGAAUUCCCGGUGUAGCGGUGAAAUGCGCAGAUAUCGGGAAGAACACCCGUGGCGAAGGCGGCUCUCUGGGACGGUACUGACGCUGAGACGCGAAAGCGUGGGGGGCGAACAGG
rnacentral:rRNA from 1 species